AGAGUUUGAUCAUGGCUCAGGACGAACGCUGGCGGCGUGCCUAAUACAUGCAAGUAGAACGCUGAAGGAGGGAGCUUGCUUCUUCUGGAUGAGUUGCGAACGGGUGAGUAACGCGUAGGUAACCUGCCUGAUAGCGGGGGAUAACUAUUGGAAACGAUAGCUAAUACCGCAUAAGAGGUAAUAACACAUGUUAUUAGUUUAAAAGGGGCAACUGCUCCACUAUCAGAUGGACCUGCGUUGUAUUAGCUAGUUGGUAAGGUAACGGCUUACCAAGGCGACGAUACAUAGCCGACCUGAGAGGGUGAUCGGCCACACUGGGACUGAGACACGGCCCAGACUCCUACGGGAGGCAGCAGUAGGGAAUCUUCGGCAAUGGGGGCAACCCUGACCGAGCAACGCCGCGUGAGUGAAGAAGGUUUUCGGAUCGUAAAGCUCUGUUGUAAGAGAAGAACGGAUGUGGGAGUGGAAAAUCCAUGUCGUGACGGUAUCUUACCAGAAAGGGACGGCUAACUACGUGCCAGCAGCCGCGGUAAUACGUAGGUCCCGAGCGUUGUCCGGAUUUAUUGGGCGUAAAGCGAGCGCAGGCGGUUUCAUAAGUCUGAAGUUAAAGGCAGUGGCUUAACCAUUGUACGCUUUGGAAACUGUGAGACUUGAGUGCAGAAGGGGAGAGUGGAAUUCCAUGUGUAGCGGUGAAAUGCGUAGAUAUAUGGAGGAACACCGGUGGCGAAAGCGGCUCUCUGGUCUGUAACUGACGCUGAGGCUCGAAAGCGUGGGGAGCAAACAGGAUUAGAUACCCUGGUAGUCCACGCCGUAAACGAUGAGUGCUAGGUGUUGGGUCCUUUCCGGGACUCAGUGCCGCAGCU
rnacentral:rRNA from 1 species